AUUGAACGCUGGCGGCAGGCCUAACACAUGCAAGUCGAACGGUAGCACAGAGAGCUUGCUCUCGGGUGACGAGUGGCGGACGGGUGAGUAGUGUCUGGGAAACUGCCUGAUGGAGGGGGAUAACUACUGGAAACGGUAGCUAAUACCGCAUAACGUCGCAAGACCAAAGAGGGGGACCUUCGGGCCUCUUGCCAUCGGAUGUGCCCAGAUGGGAUUAGCUUGUUGGUGAGGUAAAGGCUCACCAAGGCGACGAUCCCUAGCUGGUCUGAGAGGAUGACCGGCCACACUGGAACUGAGACACGGUCCAGACUCCUACGGGAGGCAGCAGUGGGGAAUAUUGCACAAUGGGCGCAAGCCUGAUGCAGCCAUGCCGCGUGUGUGAAGAAGGCCUUCGGGUUGUAAAGCACUUUCAGCGGGGAGGAAGGCGGUGAGUUUAAUAAGCUCACCGAUUGACGUUACCCGCAGAAGAAGCACCGGCUAACUCCGUGCCAGCCGCCGCAGUAA
rnacentral:rRNA from 1 species